rnacentral:rRNA from 1 species
AUUGAACGCUGGCGGCAGGCCUAACACAUGCAAGUCGAGCGGAGCGGCGGACGGGGGAGUAAUGCCUAGGAAUCUGCCUGGUAGUGGGGGCUAACGUCCGGAAACGGGCGCUAAUAACGCAUCCUAUCAGUUGGCCCUAGGUCGGAUUAGCUAGUUGGUGGGGUAAAGGCCUACCAAGGCGACGAUCCGUAACUGGUCUGAGAGGAUGAUCAGUCACACUGGAACUGAGACACGGUCCAGACUCCUACGGGAGGCAGCAGUGGGGAAUAUUGGACAAUGGGCGAAAGCCUGAUCCAGCCAGGCCGCGUGUGUGAAGAAGUUCUUCGGAUCGUAAAGCACUUUAAGUUGGGAGGCGUUACCAACAGAAUAAGCACCGGCUAACUUCGUGCCAGCAGCCGCGGUAAUUC